rnacentral:rRNA from 1 species
UUUAGCGGUAAAGGAGUUAAUUACGAAGUUAAUGGUCACCCACUGAAGCUAAGCAGAGCUGGCCCCAGUCAGUACCUGGAUGCGAGACCACAUGGAAAAGCUGGGUUGCUGCCACAA